rnacentral:rRNA from 1 species
CGGACGGGUGAGUAACGCGUAGGAAUCUACCUGGUAGUGGGGGGACAACUUGUGGAAACGCAAGCUAAUACCGCAUACGCCCUAUGGGGGAAAGCGGGGGAUCUUCGGACCUCGCGCUAUUGGAUGAGCCUGCGUAAGAUUAGCUAGUUGGUGGGGCAAAAGCUCACCAAGGCGACGAUCUUUAGCUGGUCUGAGAGGAUGAUCAGCCACACUGGAACUGAGACACGGUCCAG